UUGGUUGGGUGCUCGAGUGGCGAACGGGUGAGUAUUACGUGAGUAACCUGCCCUCAACUGUGGGAUAAGCCUGGGAAACUGGGUCUAAUACUGCAUAUUCUUCUUUCACCGCAUGGUGGGGGUUGGAAAGUUUUUUCGGUUGGGGAUGGGCUCGCGGCCUAUCAGCUUGUUGGUGGGGUGAUGGCCUACCAAGGCGGUGACGGGUAGCCGGCCUGAGAGGGUGGUCGGCCACAUUGGGACUGAGAUACGGCCCAGACUCCUACGGGAGGCAGCAGUGGGGGAUAUUGCACAAUGGGCGCAAGCCUGAUGCAGCGACGCCGCGUGAGGGAUGAAGGCUUUCGGGUUGUAAACCUCUUUCGGUACAGAACAAGGCACGUUUUUUGCGUGUGGAGGGUAUGUGCAGAAGAAGCGCCGGCUAACUACGUGCCAGCAGCCGCGGUAAUACGUAGGGCGCGAGCGUUGUCCGGAAUUAUUGGGCGUAAAGGGCUCGUAGGCGGCUUGUUGCGCCUGCUGUGAAAACGCGGGGCUUAACUCCGCGCGUGCAGUGGGUACGGGCAGGCUUGAGUGUGGUAGGGGUGACUGGAAUUCCAGGUGUAGCGGUGGAAUGCGCAGAUAUCUGGAGGAACACCGAUGGCGAAGGCAGGUCACUGGGCCAUUACUGACGCUGAGGAGCGAAAGCGUGGGUAGCGAACAGGAUUAGAUACCCUGGUAGUCCACGCUGUAAACGUUGGGAACUAGGUGUGGGGCCCUUUUCCGGGGUUCUGCGCCGUAGCUAACGCAUUAAGUUCCCCGCCUGGGGAGUACGGCCGCAAGGCUAAAACUCAAAGGAAUUGACGGGGGCCCGCACAAGCGGCGGAGCAUGCGGAUUAAUUCGAUGCAACGCGAAGAACCUUACCAAGGCUUGACAUACACCGGGAGCAUGCAGAGAUGUGUGUGCCUUUUUGGCUGGUGUACAGGUGGUGCAUGGUUGUCGUCAGCUCGUGUCGUGAGAUGUUGGGUUAAGUCCCGCAACGAGCGCAACCCUUGUCUCGUGUUGCCAGCGCGUUAUGGUGGGGACUCACGAGAGACUGCCGGGGUUAACUCGGAGGAAGGUGGGGAUGACGUCAAAUCAUCAUGCCCCUUAUGUCUUGGGCUUCACGCAUGCUACAAUGGCCGGUACAGUGGGUUGCGAUACUGUGAGGUGGAGCGAAUCUCUGAAAGCCGGUCUCAGUUCGGAUC
rnacentral:rRNA from 1 species